GCAGGCAUGCAGGGGAGAGGGAAAGGAAACAAAACAAAACACCACACACAAAGAUGUUUAUUGCAAAGCUACAGUCCCAGACUAACCUGGAGGGAUGUUUGAAUUCUGGAAAACCUUAUGGAUAAGCCUCGCAAUUAUGUACUUAGUCACAACCAGAGGGGAGGAACUUUGAAGGCACUGGAUUGAAGAGACACAAAAGUCAGGAAGUGACCCUUUCGUGGGGACUACAGAGGCCACAGAGGAGAAACAAAGUCCCUUCACAACCAGGGAAGACGGACCGUACCAUCCCUGGGGGCCGGAGUGGGGAAGAGGGCGGUGGAAACUGACAUCCUCGCUCUCAAGGAGCCGGCGAGGACACGGGAUUUCCCGACUGAAAAGCCUCAGUGUUCGCCUGACCCGGCACAGCCUCUCCCCCUCCGUGGAGGCCUGGGUACCGCAGCCCGGGGGCGCCCUGCAUCACUGCUCUGUGCGCGGGCGGGGCCGCGCUCCCCGGCCUGGAGAUGGAUGGCGUGCCCAAGCCAGCCCAUCUGCGGCCGCGGCUGGUCCGGGAGGAAGCCGUCCCCGGGGAUGAAUGGGGCUUUGUUCGCUGCCAGCCGCGCUCCCCUCGCGGCCCGGCCCGGCACAACGGAGGCAGUAUGCGACAGGCAUGGAAAUGAGCCGCGGGCUCUCCCCUCGCAGCGCCCAGGAAUGCUGGCCAGCCGGAAAGGAGCCCUCGCCGGGGACCCGCUCCCGCGCCUCUGAAACCCCAUUGAGAAGGGCUCUUUGAAGCAAUUAAAGCGCGUUUCACGGCGGCCCGGGAGGGAGCCCUGGCCGGCCAGCUUCUCUUUUUACCCCUCUUCUCUGUCCGAUCGUGUUUGUGCACCUUGGUGUGGCGGGUUACCUAGAAACCAGGCCAGAACCCGCUCCCUCUCUUGCAGAGAUUCUGUAACCUCACAAAAGUGUCCCCAUAAACAGAUUGCUUGUCUCCAGGGGGCGGGGGUGUGUGCGGGCUAGAACCCAGUUUGGACUUAAUCCAAGCUGACCUGCAGAGCUUGGGUUCCUGCUUUCAAAGGCCUCUUUGCUGGGCUCUACACCCACCUGCCCUGCAGUCAGGUUUAGGUGGACAGAAAUUGCCUCUAGAUGAAAAAGUCUUGAGGCUGCGGCUCAGCAUUUUCCAUUUUCUCAGUGGUGGGGUGGGCCGCGUUCAGGUCUAGAAGUGAUGUCACAACCAGCCCUGUAAAGUGAUGUAACCUGCACUUGUUGAAGGACUAGGACCGGGCUGCUAUUUUGAGACUCUUGAGUUCCUUCCUUCCUCCCUGGAGACAUGUGGGUGACUGGAGAACUCACAAAGCCGCUCUGGGUACAGCGGGUUUUCGUUUGUUACAGGGAAAAAUCCUAAGGUUCAGGAAUUGACUCCAUGAAAGAAGGAUAAAAUUCUUUCUAAAUUGGAGGUGUGGGCACUAUAUGUAUAUAUGCCCAUGGGGGAAGUGUGUGAACUGAAGGCCCAGUAACACCCAUAUAAAAAGAUUUCAUUGAGUUCUCUCGUUGAUUUUAUGCUGCUUUCCUCUAGGACCAAGAGUUAAAAGUCUGUUUCUCCUCCAGCAGGUGCUUCCUAGAGAAUGCGAUUCUUUUGUUGUAGCUUUGUUUUGUUUGUUGUGUUUCUGAGACUUGGUUCUUGAAUUCCCUCUGUAGCCAAGAAUGGUGGUAUAUUCCAGAUCUGCCUGCCUCUACCUCCCAAGUGCUGGAGUUCAGGCUUGUGUUGCCUCGACCAUCAUGAUCUCUUGGGGGUUUUGUUUGUUUUGUUUUGUUUGUUUUGUUUAGAAGCAUGAGAAAGGUUCUGUGUUCAGAGCAGGUCCUUAAUAAUACUUAUAAGUGCUUAGCAAAUACAUUCCAUGAAGGAGUGAAUGAAGUCGGAUCCUCUGUUUUGUUUUGUUGUUUUGUUUUGUGCAAUUCCAAACGAGAAGUAGAAGUAGUGAGCACAAGGUGGUUCCUGAGCAAGGAAGACGCUGAGAAGCUUGAAGGGAAGGUUGGGAAACAUUUUUGAGAGCACAAACACGCCUCAAAUGUUUCCUGAAAUGACCCAGAGGAGAGCAGGCGCUCAGGUGGGGGACUCAUUCUUUCCAAGUUUGGGGAUGGCUGGUUCUGGCUAACAUGAAUCAUGUUUUACGUCAGUAAGGCGUGCACCCUGUCCAUCAUUCACUCUUUAAGCAUGCCAUGGAAACAGGAUGGUCAGUCAGAGUCAUGGUUGUGCGUGGUAAGCAUCAUUGCUGCUUAUGUGCUACUCCAGUGUCUCCAUGGUGAUUGUUACCUGGGGUUUGGCUUAUACUUCUAUUUGGAUAUUUUUUCUUUGAGGCUUGGAAUAUAUGAUUUUUUUUUCUGCACACACACACACACACACACACACACACACACACACACACACACCAUCAGUCAGGAAGCAAAUGAACAUGAGAUGGAAGAGGAGGAUGCCCUACCUCAAGCAUAAUCCCACAAUCCCCAAGAUAUGCUGCUUAAGCGGCAUCUCUUUCCUUUCUCUUCUCCUUACACACACAGAUCAAGCAAUGGGUAGUCCACUUGAAGAAUGGUGCCCCAGUGUUUCCUUGUUUACUCGGGCACAGUCUGACCACCAGCAUGUCUCUGUACACAGUAACUUCCUUUCUUAUCCCAGGGUUUCAUCGGACUGCCAUUCUGGUCUCCAUUCUGCCUCUCUGACAGCCGAGAUCCUCUCGCAGCUUGAUUCACUCUCUUUAACCUUGUAGACACAACCAACACAGCGAAAAGCCCCACAGACACAGUACCUGGGCUAGAGCACAGGCCACACACUGACAUGAGAGCAGUGCCCCUCACACAGAGACCUGGUGAGUUGCUCUAGAAAUCAAGUAAUCCUGUUUCUUUCUGCCUUUCAGCUUGGUCAUGAGCAGGCAGUGGUCUUAGCAAAUAUUGACAAUCCAAAAGAGAUCCCGAGAGGCUAAAGUCAAAUACUGGGUGGUGGUACACACCAGCAAUCUUAGCACUUGGGAAGUGGGUUGAGUUUUCAAGGGUUAUCCUUAGCUACAUAAUGAGUUUGAGGCCAGCUCAGGGACACUCAGAAACUCUGUCUCAAUUACUCUAAAAGGGUUAAACAACAAACAUAUUUAUGACCACUAAUCAGAAUUAAGAUUGUUUCUCCCGUCUCUGUCCCUGAAAGAUCCUUCAGGCGUCUGGGCUUCUAAGGCCAGGGCAGCCUCCGGUGAAGUGAGCAGACUGAAUAGAGACACAAACACAAAGUGCCUUUUUCAAUCUGAUAAGCUCACAGAAGUUCUGUCACACAUUGCCAUUUUUUUUUUCCAGGAAUGAAUUAUUGGCUUUUUUUUUUUUUUGAGCCUUGUAAUUUGUCCAUUAGCUAGAAAAAUACCCAGAAGACCUCGCUUUUAUUUACCAGCUGACCCGCGACCUUAAUGAGGCUUCUCUAAAGNNNNNNNNNNNNNNNNNNNNNNNNNNNNNAAGAAAGAAAGAAAGAAAGAAAGAAAGAAAAAAAAAGGAGGAGCCGCCUCAUUCAACAGUCUUUGGUCCCUAAAAUAAACCCCACUCCCCCUAGCAGUGCUAUUUACUCAAUCUCCGGGCUACUAAGUGUAGGGGUGGUCCUUGUUGACUUAAAUGAGUCCCUGCAGCUAGGUGGGGCUCUCUGGAGUCCUUAGUCAUGUGAGGUUGCCAGGGUAACUUAACGUCUCAGGCGCUGGAAUGCUUUAAGACGUACAAAGAGGAGACUACAGAGCGCAUUACAACUUACAGUCAUGUGUUCAAUAACAUGCCAUCUUUUCGUAAUGGGGCUUUUAUUUUUACUUUAUUUUGUGGGAUUGAAAGAUCAGAAGCCGGAAAUUAGCUGGAAGGGAU
rnacentral:lncRNA from 1 species